UUGUUUAAUUCUGUACCUUUUACCUGGGCACUGAAGGGAGCAAUUGUACACCUGCAAAUCCUCUCUUAUCGUUCACAAUACCAUUUUUCUGUUUGUACAGAUUUAUAUUUUUUUAAAAUCCAGCUGCGCGUGCACACUUAGCUGAAGUUUCACCUUAUGCUUAAUUGUAAAUGCGACUUUCACGUUCUUGUCGCAAUUUUAUGUUAGAAACAGGCAAGUUUUGCUUUCCCCUUCCCCCACCUUUUACCUCGUCCCCGGGGUUGAAAUAUUGCCUUGAGAACCGUGCAGCUUUUGUUUAAAACAGCCGCCUGGAUGCAGAAUGUGUUUGGAUGUUCAGGCCCUGGUGGAAGAAGUCUUUAGUGCUACAGGACUCUCGGAGCUUGGAAACCCCUUGGACUGAGGAAAGUGAUAUUGGCCAUCCUCAGGUGGGUCAGCUGGAUUGUUGAUGGCGUGAAAAUCCAACCGGCAACCAGGAAUAGCCAUAAAAGGAGUGUCCCAUGGGUUCAGCCAGACCUUUUAUAAGCAAGAUGAAACUGACAACUCGCACAAUGAUGGACAGUUAAUGAGGACUUGACCAGGAAUUGAAACUGGGUUCUCUGGUCUGUUGUUCACCGGAUUAUUCCAAAGUGAGAAUCGUACUCUUAGAGGAGCCACAUUAGGAAGACUGUGGAACUCUAGACCGGAUGUAGGGAAGGUUUACCGGAAUGGUCACAGGAAACAUGAAUUUGCUGAAAAAUGGAAUACAGUUGCUAUCAUCAAUUUUUUCAAUUUAUGGAACAUGAAUCAGGAAAAGAACAGAUCGUACACGCAGCCUGAUCCGAUGUUAUCAUCUAUCAGAACUGCAACAAAUAUCCUUCUUUCUGACUAUGCUGUCUCUUCCUAUUGGGUCUAUCCAUUGUUUUGGGUUUUAAUUGAUCUAUUUUGGAUCGAGCCAGAUGCUGCUGAUCCCACUACUCACUGAGGACAUCCUGUUGCCCUUACUACUUGCUUGUUGUGCCAGUAUCAAGUGUCACUCUUACAGAUUAAUGAUGCAAAAACUACAGCUGAAAUAUGUAGAAAAAUGUCCCAUAGGGCAUGUUGCAAGAUGACCCACUUCAGCAAGAACAAACCUGUUUAACAAGUGGACUUUGCAAAGAAAACUCAAACUCGAUAAUAUGUACUGUUCAAACAAUUCAGUUUAUGGGACUGAUGAAUAUUGAUAAUGUACAUUGUUGGACAUUACUGCAUAGACACAACAGGAAGAUUGGUUACUGUGUUUAAAUUUCAUAAUUUUUUCUUGCAUAUGUCAGUGCCCAAAAAAUAAUAAAGUGGAGCCUAAGAUUUAAUUUACAUGGAGAUAUUCAGAAGGCAAAAGUCGACAGUAUACAAAUAUCAAAAUGUGACAGGCAGUAUCUGGGAAUUAUACUUUGUGAUUAAUUUUACGAUAGAUCAAGAGGUGGUGGCUUGUCCAAUGUUUGUUAUCAGUGUCAUUUUUAAAAAACAUGUCAAGCCCACAUUUAUGAACCUGUCCAUUUAAAGUUGUAAUUGAGAAAAUCUUUUUAUACUUAAAUAAGGGCUUUUCACAAUCAUAUCAUCUUUCAAACACAACCAAUAAAUCACAAGAAAUAUUGCAACCAAUUGCACUCAACAAAGUCCCACAAACAGGAAUGUGAUAACGACCUACAUCACUUAAAAUAAACUGUUUGAGGUUUGCAUAUUGUCCAGUAUGCUGGGGAAAAAUCUUGUUCCAAUGAAGUGCAUCUCAUGAAAAGUUUACAUCUCUGAAAAAUGGCAGAAUGGGUUCGAUUUGAUGUCUGAUCUGAAACAAUAUACUUCUAAUGGUGCAGCACUUGUUCAGUCUUGACUCCAGACUAGUGCUCCUGAGUCGAGAGAGUGGUGCACAGCAGGUCAGGCAGCAUCCGCGGAGCAGGCGAAUCCUAAUGAAGGGUUUCUGCCUGAAAUGUCAUUUUUCCUACUCCUAUGAUGCUGCCUGACCUGCUGUGCUUUUUCAGCACCACUCUUGACUCUGAUCUCCAGCAUCUGCAAUCCUCACUUUCUCCUCGUGCUCCUGAGCCAUCACUCCUAUUCCUGCAUCAAUGUGCAGGUUAGUGCAAGAGAUUUGACCGUAUUACCAUUAACUACAAGAUUUCUCAUGGGAUUGAUUCCAGCAAUGGGCACUAUUUUCAUUUAUUUCCCUGAGAGCUGCUAAUGCCUCAUCUUCUGGAGUUCUUGUUUCAGUAUUUUUUAAAGGGUUCCUGGUGGUAAUUAGUUUACUGAGUUGCAGUUUUGCUGUAGCACCUGUCCUGUAACAUUACCAGUAAGAAUAAACUUAGACAAGACAGUCCUUUCAUUUUUGAAAAUCUUUGCAUUGCCUCAAUGCCGAAUGUGAGAUGCAGAAGGGCGAAAAUCCAUGCUUGACUAUCAGCAACGUGUUGAGAGAGGAUGAAUUAUCUGUAGCUUAGCCAAAUCCUGUCCUUAUCCAAAAGUGGAGGGGGGGUUAUUAGUCAGCAGACAGAGUAGGUACUCUGGCUGCAAUAAUAUUCCUCCUUAAUCUGGGGACUUGAAGGUCAAUGGUCUUCAUUGGGGUCUACUGACACCAAUGCAGUGUAAGAAAUUGGCUUGAUUUAAGAUUUUCACACACCUUCAUACGUCAGUCCUACAUCAGGCAUUGAGUUUAUCCACUGAACUAUUUUGUGGAAAUAAUUAAGAAUGCAGCAGUUACUGCUAACCAGUUACGUUGUACACGUUUUGCUUGUUACAAGACAUUGUAAAAUUAAAAGUUGUAAUUGAAAUAAAUUGUUAGGAUGUAAUUUACAAAAUAGACCUCAUCUCAAGUGAAGUAAACAUGUGCACAAAAAAAUAAACCGAUUUGUUGCCCUUCGGCUGUGGUUUGCUCAGUCCAGUAAAAGUUUAUUUAAAGUACUGUAGAGCUGUAUGAAAAGCUUGUUUUUGUUUCUAAGCAAGACUACUCUUCAUCACAAACUCAGCAGCUGUGCUCACUUUUUGAAUGUCAGUUAAAGGUGUUUAUACAAUCAAAUAUUC